CUGGAUAUAAACAAUGCUAGUCCAGAGGGCAUGGAGCUCAGUUUCUGGCAUGAAAGGCUCGAAGAAAUGUGAUCCUCCUGCUGCCAGAUUACAUCAUCUCGCUCUGCAUUGUUCACUAUCAUUUAUUAGCCAGAUUGCUUGUGAAUAAACUUAAACUUUAUCUUGUUGGUUCUGAACAAUGGGCUUUGGUUUUUGUCAGAUAUAGCGGUAAGAUCAUCAUGGUAUUCAAGAACUGUUGCAUUAAUCUUUUGAACGGUGAGAAGCAAUUAAUCCCGGACCAUGUUACUCAUGUUGGAUAU
rnacentral:lncRNA from 1 species